rnacentral:piRNA from 1 species
GAGGUGAUCAAAGGGGUCAACGAACCUCGAGU